rnacentral:rRNA from 1 species
CUUCGGCAUUUCCGAGUAUGGCUCUGGGUCACCUCCCACCCGUGUUUAUCGUACCUUGUUGCUUCGGCGGGCCCGCCUCACGGCCGCCGGGGGGCAUCCGCCCCCGGGCCCGCGCCCGCCGAAGACACACAAACGAACUCUUGUCUGAAGAUUGCAGUCUGAGUACUUGACUAAAUCAGUUAAAACUUUCAACAACGGAUCUCUUGGUUCCGGCAUCGAUGAAGAACGCAGCGAAAUGCGAUAAGUAAUGUGAAUUGCAGAAUUCAGUGAAUCAUCGAGUCUUUGAACGCACAUUGCGCCCCCUGGUAUUCCGGGGGGCAUGCCUGUCCGAGCGUCAUUGCUGCCCUCAAGCACGGCUUGUGUGUUGGGCUCUCGCCCCCCGCUUCCGGGGGGCGGGCCCGAAAGGCAGCGGCGGCACCGCGUCCGGUCCUCGAGCGUAUGGGGCUUCGUCACCCGCUCUGUAGGCCCGGCCGGCGCCCGCCGGCGAACACCAUCAAUCUUAACCAGGUUGACCUCGGAUCAGGUAGGGAUACCCGCUGAACUUAAGCAUAUCAAUAAGGCGGAGGAAAGUGAAGUCCCUCUGGGUCAACUCCACCGUGUUUAUCUACCUUGUUGCUUCGCGGCGCCUCACGGCGCCGGGGGGCAUCGCCCCGGGCCGCGCCCCAAGACCACAACAACUCUUGUCGAAGAAUGCGUCUAAGUUAUUGAUAAAUCAUUUUAAACUUUCA